rnacentral:rRNA from 1 species
AUUCUUCGGAUGAAGAUCUUGGUGACUGAGUGGCGGACGGGUGAGUAACGCGUGGGUAACCUGCCUCAUACAGGGGGAUAACAGUUAGAAAUGACUGCUAAUACCGCAUAAGACCACAGCACCGCAUGGUGCAGGGGUAAAAACUCCGGUGGUAUGAGAUGGACCCGCGUCUGAUUAGCCAGUUGGCGGGGUAACGGCCCACCAAGGCGACGAUCCAUAGCCGACCUGAGAGGGUGACCGGCCACAUUGGGACUGAGACACGGCCCAAACUCC